GCCGCGCAGCAGCGCCAACGGCGUUAAAAUGGAGAAUGAUGAGUCAGUGAAGGAAGAAAAAUCUGAUUUAAAAGAAAAGUCUACAGGAAAUAAGAAGGCCAAUCGGUUCCAUCCUUAUUCAAAAGAUAAGAAUUCGGGCACUGGAGAAAAGAAAGGUCCAAAUCGGAACAGAGUGUUCAUUAGCAACAUACCCUAUGACAUGAAGUGGCAGGCUAUUAAAGAUUUGAUGAGAGAAAAAGUUGGUGAGGUUACAUACGUGGAGCUCUUUAAGGAUGCGGAAGGAAAAUCAAGGGGUUGUGGCGUGGUUGAAUUCAAAGAUGAAGAAUUUGUAAAGAAAGCAUUAGAAACUAUGAACAAAUAUGACCUUAGUGGAAGGCCUUUGAAUAUUAAAGAGGAUCCGGAUGGAGAAAAUGCUCGCCGGGCACUGCAGCGAACAGGAACAUCAUUUCAAGGAUCACAUGCCUCCGAUGUGGGAUCUGGGUUGGUGAAUUUACCACCUUCCAUUCUCAAUAAUCCAAACAUUCCUCCUGAGGUUAUCAGCAAUUUGCAGGCUGGUAGACUUGGUUCCACAAUUUUUGUUGCUAAUCUUGACUUCAAAGUUGGUUGGAAGAAAUUAAAGGAAGUGUUCAGCAUAGCUGGAACUGUGAAGCGAGCUGAUAUUAAAGAAGACAAGGAUGGCAAGAGCAGAGGCAUGGGCACUGUCACUUUUGAGCAGGCAAUUGAAGCAGUCCAAGCAAUUUCCAUGUUCAAUGGGCAGUUUUUAUUUGAUAGACCUAUGCAUGUGAAAAUGGAUGACAAAUCUGUCCCUCAUGAAGACUACCGUUCACAUGAUAGUAAGACAUCACAGUUACCACGUGGUCUUGGAGGCAUUGGAAUGGGACUUGGUCCAGGUGGACAGCCUAUUAGUGCCAGCCAGCUGAACAUAACUGGUGUAAUGGGAAAUUUGGGUCCAAGUGGUAUGGGAAUGGAUGGUCCGGGUUUUGGAGGAGUGAAUAGAAUUGGAGGAGGAGUUGGGUUUGGUGGUCUGGAAGCAAUGAAUAGCAUGGCAGGCUUUGGUGGAGUUGGCCGAAUGGGAGGCGGCAGCAUGAGCGGCAUGAGCACUGUGACUGGAGGCAUGGGCAUGGGACUGGACCGCAUGAGCUCCAGCUUCGACAGGAUGGGGCCAGGCAUUGGAGCCAUACUGGAAAGGAGCAUCGAUGUAGACCGAGGGUUUUUAUCAGGUCCCAUGGGAAGCGGAAUGAGAGACAGAUUAGGCUCCAAAGGCAACCAGAUAUUUGUUAGAAAUCUUCCUUUUGACUUGACUUGGCAGAAAUUAAAAGAGAAAUUCAGCCAAUGUGGCCAGAUUAACAGAGAUAGCAAGACUCACUCUAACUGUGGACAACACCAUUCCUAAGUUGGACUCCUGACAUCAGAAGCAACAUAACCAGCCUCAAGCUCUUGCUGCCCUGCCCCGUCUGUCAUGAUGGCCUAUAGUUUCCAAUGAAAUCGAAGCAAACCUUUCCUUCUUAAAGUUGCUUUGGUCAUAUAUUUGUAAAAAGUAGUGACAUAAGUAAGUGGCACGCUAGGUGCUGGUGAGCUUAGUUUGAGCUCACUGGAACAAGUGUUUCUGUACUGACACACUGUGUGAGCCUUAAAUAUUUAUUAAAAACAGUUUUCAAAU